UUGUAUGAUCCCAGCAAACACCUGACGUUGUUUCAACGUUGGAUCUAAGUUGGAUUUAUGUCACGACGUCAAAAUCCUAAAUACAACGUUGAAACAACGUUGUAUUUGCGACGUCGUAUCAACGUGUUGGAAUUACGUCGAUACGACGUCGGAUUUCAGUGUCAUCCAACAUAGUAGUCUUGAUUGUGUUACUUCCCUUUGUUCUGAUUUAUAAACCCGAUAGGUGGCUCUAAUUUCAGGUCAAUAUAAUCAUUCGAAUUUUGUUACUCAUUUUUUUUUUCACAUCCAUUGUAUUUUUUUUUUUAAAAAUUGUUGUUAUACUAGACCAUAAAAAGGAACAAUGUUAGUAUUUCAAUUAAAUAAAUUGAAAAAAAAUAAUGGAAACUUGAUGAAUUUCAAAACGAGGCUACAACAACAAUUUGUUUUCAAAUUCAAACAAAGACAAAGGAAGGACAUUAUGCACAUCAUAGAAGACAACUCGCAUAGUGAAAAACUGACACCUUAUUUUUGUGUGAUGACAAUUAGCUGAUAAGAUUGUAUACAUGAAAAGCAGUCGACAGGAAACACCAUUUGGACAUAAAAGAAUGAUAAGUGCAUCAAAUUAAGUUUCAAGGGAAAAAAAAGCUGAACCUCAAAACAAGUUUGACACAGUGUCUUCGUAGAUGAAAAUAAUCAGGAUCCAGUGGUGGACGUUUAGUAUACCAGAAUUAUUCACAUGGAGGAGUAUAUCUCCAAAUUUAAUACUUUUUAGUUAGUUUUGAAAGAAUAAAGAUUAAAAAU